GAAUCUUUGAAAUUUCUGUUGCAGUUUCCUGUUAGCGACUAUGACUAUCAGGUCCUCUUCCCUGGUUAUUGUGCCCCCUCUGGGACAGGAACUUCAGAAAGGGUCCCUGCCUGUCAUGGGAGAGGAGCAAGGCAGGACAGAGAGAUCUGGAUUCU
rnacentral:lncRNA from 1 species